CAUAAAACUAGUUGAAUCUUGCAAUUCAACUGGAGGACAUAUAUUUUCUAACUUCUUAUGAAAAGAGUGGCAUUCUGUGCAGAGAAGAGCAUUUUCUUUUCCCAUGUGAUGCCAUUCCUUAGAAGCUGAAAACAAAAAUUUGAAUAUGUUGAAACAUCCCUAGAGUCUGAGUCAUCUGAUUCUUCUUCUUCGCUACCAGAACUAACUUCAACUAUAUAAGUUGUCUGAUUCUGCGUAAAGCAUUUUGCCGUCGAUGCCGUCGGUGUGGCCGAGAAGUUGCAGCAGCAGGAGUUUUUUUCCACAGUGUUCAAAAUGACUUGCAACAACUUGGGAUCACUGGAGUCACGCAAGCAGCCAAAGACAGAUUUGAUAUGGCUAUCACAGACUAUCACCUUUUAGCAAAUCUUCUGGACCCAAGAUACCAGGGUGCAAAGCUCACAGACAGUAUGAAAGAUGCUGCACUAACUCUGUGCCACGCUUACUACUCAGAUGCUAUGCCUUCAGUUUUAAAAUACAUGGCAAAAACUAGCCCAUUUCUGCAACACAUGUUUGCAGAGUCUGUGUUAAUAUCACUACUCUUAUAUGGUGGCAGUCACUAUGUGACAGAAUUGAUGAACCUGUUUUAAAAUUAGUUACACAGCUGCACACAGAAAUAGUUUCUUCAGCAGGAAUUGUGAGAAUUUUCUCUACCUAUGAACUUGUUCAUUCAAAACUUAGAAAUCGACUUGGACAGGAAAAGGCAGCAAAGCUUGUUAAAGUUUUCAAGCACCUAAAUAAACACUAUCGAGCAUUGUAUAUUUCUGAAAAUAAGAAAUUCUUCAAGCUGCAGAAACCACUGCUGUCAAUCCUGUUUUGGUGUUUGUACAUGCAAAUCUUAAAAAUGCCAUUGCAUAAAGAAACAUUUAAAAAUGCUGUAUUUUAUAUUAAAUAAAACAUUCUGUACAUUCUUGAGCCUUACAUUGAAGUUUUUCUGUUUUAUUUUUCUAUUUUACUAGAUCAAGUGUUUUAUUUCCAAAAAAAAAACAUGUUUUAAAUCCAAUGCCUAUGUUUUAAUAAAUGUUUCAAAACAUUUUUUUUAAAUCA